UUUUCCUCUCUCUCUCAAAACUUCAGCCGCCGAACCCAUUCCAUCCAAUGCUGUCGUCCAUCUUCAUACUUUAAUUUUGCGCUGUUACAGUUCGUCCGUCACGUUAUCGUAGAGUUACCGUCCUCCCGUCGUCGUCUGCGUCGAUUUUAAGUCUCCCGAUGUUUGCUCGUCGAGUCUAUUGCUGUUGAACGUGUCUUGUUCGGAAAUUGACACCAUUGGACGCGAUUUCCUCCAUUUAGCGCUAGAUCUGCUCGAUUUCUCACCAAAUUUGUUUGGUUCACUACUCCAGUCUGCGAUUUGUGCCAGAUCUGCUCUAGUUCGAAGCCGAAGCUGAGGCCGACGCCAUUUUUUAACAAGUGCCGCCAUGUGCGUUCAACUUCGUUGCUGUGUUGCAUUGGUCUAACCUCUUCCAACCCCAACACCAUUGGAUUUUGUGUCUUCGAGGGAAGAAUUCCUUUAUGUGGUUUGGUCCCAAUCCAGUGGUGACUAUCUCUGUAUUUGAAAAACUUGACAUUCCACUUGCUAAGCUUUUUAAUAACUGGAGUAGUGGACUAUAAUGGUGAAACAUUGAUGAUACACACAGUAAUUAUCAACCCUGUCUUUCAUUUGGAGAAGUUAAGGCGUUGGCAUACUUGACUAUGAAGCGUUUGAUGAUUCAUUGGGGCCUUUGUGGUAUUGUAUAGCUUCCUGCUUUCUGAUGCGAUGAUUGAUCCAGAUCUGUUAAAGGAUUAUUGUUGCCGAGCAUAUUUUGAAGGAUUGCAUAUUUGGCUGUUUGAGAUCACACCUUCAACUGCAAGUGCUUGAAGCAUUUUAAAUUAGGGUUGUAUACGUAGACAUUCUCUUUGUGGAAAGAUUGACACUAUUCCAUCGGC